CAGUCGCCACGGUAAAACGUAGGUGGCAAGCGUUGUCCGGAAUUAUUGGGCGUAAAGGGCUCGCAGGCGGUUUCUUAAGUCUGAUGUGAAAGCCCCCGGCUCAACCGGGGAGGGUCAUUGGAAACUGGGAAACUUGAGUGCAGAAGAGGAGAGUGGAAUUCCACGUGUAGCGGUGAAAUGCGUAGAGAUAUGGAGGAACACCAGUGGCGAAGGCGACUCUCUGGUCUGUAACUGACGCUGAGGAGCGAAAGCGUGGGAAGCGAACAGGAUUAGAUACCCCCGUAGUCCCUGUCUCUUAUAC
rnacentral:rRNA from 1 species